rnacentral:rRNA from 1 species
UACGAAGGGGGCUAGCGUUGCUCGGAAUUACUGGGCGUAAAGCGCACGUAGGCGGCUUUCUAAGUCGGGGGUGAAAUCCUGGAGGCUCAAACUCCAGAACUGCCUUCGAUACUGGAGAGCUCGAGUCCGGGAGAGGUGAGUGGAACUGCGAGUGUAGAGGUGAAAUUCGUAGAUAUUCGCAAGAACACCAGUGGCGAAGGCGGCUCACUGGCCCGGUACUGACGCUGAGGUGCGAAAGCGUGGGGAGCAAACAGGG